AGGAAGGUGGGGAUGACGUCAAAUCAUCAUGCCCCUUAUGAUUUGGGCUACACACGUGCUACAAUGGACAAUACAAAGGGCAGCGAAACCGCGAGGUCAAGCAAAUCCCAUAAAGUUGUUCUCAGUUCGGAUUGUAGUCUGCAACUCGACUACAUGAAGCUGGAAUCGCUAGUAAUCGUAGAUCAGCAUGCUACGGUGAAUACUUGUACACACCGCCCGUCACACCACGAGAGUUUGUAACACCCGAAGCCGGUGGAGUAACCUUUUAGGAGCUAGCCGUCGAAGGUGGGACAAAUGAUUGGGGUGAAGUCGUAACAAGGUAGCCGUAUCGGAAGGUGCGGCUGGAUCACCUCCUUUCUAAGGA
rnacentral:rRNA from 1 species